rnacentral:rRNA from 1 species
AUUGAACGCUGGCGGCAGGCCUAACACAUGCAAGUCGAACGAGCGGCGGACGGGUGAGUAAUGUAUGGGAAACUGCCCGAUGGAGGGGGAUAACUACUGGAAACGGUAGCUAAUACCGCAUACUAUCAGAUGAACCCAUAUGGGAUUAGCUAGUAGGUGGGGUAAAGGCUAACCUAGGAGACGCUCUCUAGCUGGUCUGAGAGGAUGACCAGCAACACUGGAACUGAGACACGGCCCAGACUCCUACGGGAGGCAGCAGUGGGGAAUAUUGCACAAUGGGCGCAAGCCUGAUGCAGCCAUGCCGCGUGUAUGAAGAAGGCCUUAGGGUUGUAAAGUACUUUCAGCGGGGAGGCGUUACCCGCAGAAGAAGCACCGGCUAACUCCGUGCCAGCAGCCGCGGUAAUAC